rnacentral:rRNA from 1 species
UAACACGUAUCCAACCUGCCGCUUACUCGGGGAUAGCCUUUCGAAAGAAAGAUUAAUACCCGAUGGUAUAAAGAGUUCGCAUGUUCUCUUUAUUAAAGAAUUUCGGUAAGCGAUGGGGAUGCGUUCCAUUAGAUAGUUGGCGGGGUAACGGCCCACCAAGUCUACGAUGGAUAGGGGUUCUGAGAGGAAGGUCCCCCCACAUUGGAACUGAGACACGGUCCAAACUCCUACGGGAGGCAGCAGUGAGGAAUAUUGGUCAAUGGACGAGAGUCUGAACCAGCCAAGUAGCGUAGAAGGAUGACUGCCCUAUGGGUUGUAAACUUCUUUUAUAAGGGAAUAAAGUGAGGGACGUGUCCCUUUUUGUAUGUACCUUAUGAAUAAGGAUCGGCUAACUCCGUGCCAGCAGCUGC